rnacentral:lncRNA from 1 species
UGCUUGGAAGAAUAACAUCCUCAACCUCAGCUCCUUCAUGGAUCUGCUGGAAAGCAGAUUCUAUGUCUUCAACAGAUCUCACUUCCAGAACGGGCAGAGCUUCCGUCAGUUCUUUGGCAGUGUCUGACCCUACUGAAGAUGGCCCAGGUUCAGAAUCUGUCACAACUUCCUUAACACCGAAGUCUCCAAUCGUGUCAAGUUCAGACAACAACCCUUCAUCAAUCUCUUUUAUCUCGUCUGCCUCUUCAGCGAUAACUUCAGGAGGACUUUGAGAUAUUUCAUGUAAAUCUGUAAGCUGAUCUAAUUGCUCGACCACAUGGUCAGGCCCCUCAUUAACAGUCUCUUGGAAGAACUCCGUCUUUGAGCCUUCACCAACCAUAGGUGUUUCGUACUCAGGAGACUCUGCUGGAGAUGAGGAUGUAUCAGAUGUCAAACAAGAUAACUCUGUUGUAUCCUCAGGAGCUUCGUGAUACUCGUGGAAAGUGACGUUACGGGAAAAGACCACACUCAGAGGAGCUGCACGAGCUGGUUCCUGCAACAACGUAGCACAGCGGUUAGACUCCUGCUUAACAAAUUGCAGAAAGAAGAAAGAAAUUCAAACAUUUUGGAGGUAUUAGCUCUGAUGUUAUGUACAGUUCAACGUAAGAAACCACAAAUCUAGAAUACGUACCACUGUCAAAUAUGACAUGGAAAAAAAAAAAAUGACAUGGGAAUAAUAAAUAGGUAAAGCAUGAGACUGCGCCGAGAAUGUGUUUUUUUUUUCCACAUGUGUCAAAGCACCAUCAAGUAAUUAAUAUCUUAUACUUAUAAUCCCUUUAUAAGUAUAUCACAUAGACUAUCUUAAGCUAAGAGGAGAGCAGUAGAAGAUCGUAUUACUAAAAGUAUCUACGGGAGAACAUAAGUUUCAUGACUUACUUGAUCUUCACCAGGUUCAAGGGAUGAUUGUUCUACCACAGAUUUAUCUGAACAGGUUGGUUCUCUAUCUGAUUCAGAUGGAGUCGUUUCUUCGGAUCCCACAUUUUGAGCACUAGUAUUCACAGAGUCUACUUCAAUAACCAUAGUUUGGUUAGAGUGUGUUUCUUCCUUGGCAUCAGAAACUGAUGACUGAACUGGAUCUUGUUCCGCCUUCGGAGCAUCUUCGUCAUUAAAUGAAUGCGUCUCAACAUACUCAACUGCUCCAGAAGACAGAGUGGCGUAGCUGUCUAUUGGGAUGUCUGCAGUGAAUGUUUGAGGACUGGCUUCAUCUUUUUGUUUAUUCUCUUCCUCCUGCACUAUGCCUUCAGCUACCUUCCGUUGACAUCUCCUCUAUUGAUUUUGAAGUUUCCUCCAGUGAUCGAGUUUCGGUAGACGAUACAUCGGAUGUGGUUCUCUCUUUCGGUCUACUUUCCUCAUCUUCUUCUUUCUCAGGUGUGUUGUUAAGAUUAACAUUUGUCUCAUCAAGAGAUCUUUCUUCAAUUAAAGACCCUGAUGGUUCCAUUUCAACUCCGCACUUGGUUUCUCCAGACCCACCAUCUGUUUCUGGUGACAUUGGUUGCUUGCCCAUGCUCUCUACUACAGCCUCAUUCAUAGCAGUAUCUAGAUCAUCUUUCGACGUAGCUUCCACAACUGUUAACUCUGAUUUUGCCUCUGUUGAGUUUUCAGAAUUUUCUUGAGCCAACUGGUCUUGAACGGUGCUUGGAAGAAUAACAUCCUCAACCUCAGCUCCUUCAUGGAUCUGCUGGAAAGCAGAUUCUAUGUCUUCAACAGAUCUCACUUCCAGAACGGGCAGAGCUUCCGUCAGUUCUUUGGCAGUGUCUGACCCUACUGAAGAUGGCCCAGGUUCAGAAUCUGUCACAACUUCCUUAACACCGAAGUCUCCAAUCGUGUCAAGUUCAGACAACAACCCUUCAUCAAUCUCUUUUAUCUCGUCUGCCUCUUCAGCGAUAACUUCAGGAGGACUUUGAGAUAUUUCAUGUAAAUCUGUAAGCUGAUCUAAUUGCUCGACCACAUGGUCAGGCCCCUCAUUAACAGUCUCUUGGAAGAACUCCGUCUUUGAGCCUUCACCAACCAUAGGUGUUUCGUACUCAGGAGACUCUGCUGGAGAUGAGGAUGUAUCAGAUGUCAAACAAGAUAACUCUGUUGUAUCCUCAGGAGCUUCGUGAUACUCGUGGAAAGUGACGUUACGGGAAAAGACCACACUCAGAGGAGCUGCACGAGCUGGUUCCUGCAACAACGUAGCACAGCGGUUAGACUCCUGCUUAACAAAUUGCAGAAAGAAGAAAG